rnacentral:lncRNA from 1 species
GCUCUCACUUCUCUCUUCCCUCAUCCGCGCCGGUUUCUGGAAAUCUGAAGAUGAUCUUCAUCUUCUCCGGUGGAGCUUGUUCCUCCGGCGUGGUGGCCGGCCACCCAAAGGUGGCGGCGCCGCCGCCGGAGUUGAGCAAACUCCUCCGAUUUUGAAAAUUUUUACAUUUUUAGAUAUCCUUUUUCAUGCUAUUCACGAAUCCAAACUUGGUUUUUUGAGAAAAAGUCCCAAUCAGAGUAGAUCUGACUUCAAAGAUUCGGAAAUUUUUGAACUCAACAAAGGAGGAAAGAGGAAAAGAAGAGUUAUUACCUAUUUGUGGUGUGUCGUGGAGCAAGGGAGAGAGCUUUGCUUUCUUCCGGAUCCGGAAUAUUCCUUCCUUAUUUCUCUUCUCCUUCACGUGAUUCUUUGACCGAAUUUGCUUGUUGUUUGGUGAUGAUCUUGGUGAUUUGAUUCGGAUUUUGUUGAUUUUUGUGGUUCUUGGUGCGGAUUUGUUGCUGGAUUCGGUUUUGUUGCUUUCGGUUUCGUUGCUUUCGGUUUCGUUGCUUUUUCUUCUCCUCCUCUCCCUGUGAUCGUGCUUGGAUUCGCCGCUUCCGGUGGCGGAUUCGCACUUGGAUUGCGGAGCAGAGACGAUUCGAUGAUGAAGAUUCGCAAAGAAUCUCUGAGAAUCACACAAAAGGAUGAUGAAUUUGAUGAAUUUGUGAUGAUUUUGGUUAGGGUUUAUGUGAAUGUUCUUGAUGAUUUCUGUUUUGAUCUGUAACUGAAAAGAGAGAGAUUGUGGCUUCUGUUUGUGGUGAUGUGGCGUGGAAUGAAUGGAUCUGGAUUAUGUGGCACUGUGAACAGUAUUUAUAGCUGAUGUGUGAGUGAUUGGACCAUUAGAAAGCUGACAUGUGGCAUUGGACUGAAAAAGGGGCGCUGCCCUGUAAUUUGACUUGAAGGACCUGUUUGCAAAUUUGAAAAAUAUAUGGACUGGACUGAAAAAUGAAAGUAAGGACUGAAAUGAAAUUAAAAACUGUUUGGACAAAAAAUGCAAUUUUGGGACCUCAAUUUGAGGGACCAAAAUGCAAUUAAAAAUAAAAUUGAAUAAAAAACGUAAUUUGACCAAACGUAAAGCGAAACAAAAAAUAAAAUUGACAAAACGGACUAAAACGAACCAAAG